GUUCGAUCCUCAGCACCACAUACAAACAAGGAUGUUGUGUCCGCUGAUAAAUUAAAUAUUAAAAUUCUCUCUCUCUCUCUCUCUCUCUCUCUCUCUCUUUAAAAAAAAAAAUUAAAAAAAAAAAAGUAGUACUGCCUCUUGGAAACACACCAGUAGACAUAAAAUAAAACCUGCAAGUCUCCUUUCUUCACCUACUCCCAUCCUCUGGAAGUAACCCCUUGUUCACAGUUCUGUAUUCAAGAAUGUUUACAUGCACACACAUUUAUAGAGAAUUUCCCCUGCCUUGAGAAAAAUAAGAUUAUAGCUAGGUAUAUGUACACCCAUAACUCCAGCAACUCUGGAGGCUGAGGCAGAAUGAUCACAAGUUUGAGUUCAGCCUGGGCAAGUUAGCAAGACCCUGUCUCAAAAAAAACGGCUGGGGAUGGAGCUCAGUGAUUGAAUACUCUUGGAGUUAGUCUCCAGGAGGGUUGGGGUGGGGAGAAUUAUAGCCUUCUGCAUUAAAAUGUUUUAAAAAUUGGUUCUUGGAAAGGUUCUGUACAUUCACAUGAUUGAAAAUUUAGAAGAUAUAAAGCAGGGCCUGAGGCUGUAGCUCAGUGGCAGAGCACUUGCCUGGAUGUGUGAGGCAUUGGAUUCUAUCCUUAGCACCACAUAAAAAUAAACAAAGGCAUACUGUCCAUCUAUAGGUAAGAAGAAGAAGCCAAAGCCUUUUCUCCCAGUUCAAUUGCCUUUCCCAGAGAUAGUUGUCAUAUCCUUGUGUUCUCUUGCAGUUUCUAUAUAUACGUGUUCCUACCUCCUCUGCUUUUAUUACUACAUGCAAAUAGUGUUAUACUCUAUUCUCUACCUUUUUUCAACUUGUGAUGUAUCUGAAUGAUGUAGUUCAGGUGCUACCUCAAGCUUGUAUCUGCCUCCUUACUGAAGUGUGAAGCCUCUUAUGUGAACCUAGUGACAUGGAGGUAGACCUCUGCAUGAUGUCCUAGGCUAGUGACUUGCAGCCCUAAUGACUCAAGGGUAGGUCAGCAACCCCUCCUGGCUUAGUUGAGCUGUGGGCAUUUGCUUAUUUUGAGUAUCUGGUUGAACCUGGGAUCCUGUUAGAUCCUGAUGUCAUUUUUCUUUUCAGUUCCCUUGAAGAAAGCCAUCUCAGAGUUAUCUUGUCUGCUGGGGAACUUCCUCAUUGCUGAGAGUGGCAGUUAAAAAAGCUGUUAGUCAUGUGGCCAGGCUCUGAUUUCUACACAGGCAGGCUGAGUUUCAGCAUGGUGUGGAUCCAGGUAGGAAUUGGUCAGCAUUCUGAAUCUUGAGUUGCUGUCUGCCUUGCAGCCUGCUGGGAUGCUCAGUUUAGACAACAUAUAAAGUUUCCUGGAGAUGGGACAAACCCAGGCCUAUGGAAAGAGCAGGAAGGUUAAAGUGUGUGGUACUUUUCAGCAGUGACGAAGGCGUAACCAGGGAGCCGACAUGUUUGCUCUGAUGCCAAGAAUUCCAGGACAAUUUGUUAUCCAGUUAAAGCCAGCGCAGUUGCUACAAAGAAGCCUGCGGCCAGCCCAUCUCCCCUCAUUUCCUUUGCCUUCUUGCCUACCUACUCUUUUCUAGCUCUGUGGAGAAGGCUGUUGACAUUGGAAAUGUCUGCUUGUUUUUAUCAUUCUCUUGUAAGAGAAUAAAGGGCUGGGCUUAGGUCAAACCAUGGCUCUUUUGUGCUGAAGGCGUCAGCUUCCUGAAAGGCUUCAUAAAUGCUGACUUUUCUCACAGAGAAACGUAGUUGAAGAGUCAGGUUAAUCUGCUUAAGGAAAUGCUAGAAAGAAUAAUUUUGCAGACAGCCUGUUCUAAAGACAUCAAUUGCCCUUCUCCCUUAAAAUGUUUUUAAUUGGACAAAGGAAAUAAAAUCUGGCCUCUCUGAUCUACAGAGGCCUAUGUAGUUAUGGGGCUGCUGACCUGCAACAUUAUAGGCAGGUGUGUGAAUGUGCUACGAGUCUUGGCCAUGUACUGCUGCCCAACUUGUUUUUGUGAUGAUUGUUAUCUCCGGCCUUCUUUCAGGAGCAAAGGGUGGGAGAAAUAGAUUUCAGUGGGUCAGAAUACUUAAUAGUGGUCAUUAACUUCUAGAAAUGUAGUUCGGGGCCCAUUGUUUAAACUUCCCUGGUGCCAAGGCGAGAUGAGGAGUCUGUUCUUCUGUCACAGGCACGCAUGCAUUACACAGAUGGCCUGGUGUUUGAUGUAAAACUUGUGUUUGUAUGCAUUGUGUGUCUCUUCUGUACACACACACACACACACAUGUAUUUGUGUACUGCUUUCUUUCACUUAGUACCACGUUUUUCCUGUAUUAUUGCAUACUUUGUAAAUGCCAAUUUUAAUAGCAGCCUACUGUUCUGUUCUGAGUUUACUUCUCCCCUGUGAAGAUGUUUGUUUUGCAAAGGAUUGUUCUAGGUCCUAUUUAUAGGGCAGAGUUGUCUGUAUUUGCAUCCCCCUGAUGUGUCAUGUCUGUAUCUAAAUUUUAAAUGGCUGUGUUCUAACCAUUACCAGUUCAGCUUUGUAAUUAAAAUAUAUGCUCAAAAGGAAAUACAAACCCCUCCCUAAAGCAUAGUCAAUGACAUUAUUCUGGCAUAUGCUCUUGCAAAAUGGAGAGUUCCUUCUGGCUGAUGUGAUGUUAGCAUUACUGGCACCUGUGCCCAGUGAAAAAAUACAUUGGCACUUAGCAAAACCUUUCUGGAGAAAAUUGUAGUUCUGUUAUUUUAAAGUCUUCCAAGUCUACAUUUUCAAAUAGGCUCACCCAGUGGAUUUGUUAUCUCUGAACCUUCAUGUCCAAUUUUUUUGGGUGGGGGGUGCUGGGGACCGAAUUCAGGGCCUCAUCCUUGCUAGGCAAACUCUACUACUGAGCCAUAUCCUUGGCCCUCCAGGUCAGAUUUGAAAGGAGAAAGUAUGUUGUCCCACUUACUCUAGCUGGGCUUGUGUGUGUCUUGGGAAGAGCAAGGGUGGGGCUGGUAUGGUGAUGCAGGCCUAUAAUCCCAGUCAGUCUUAGGCUGAAGCAGGAGGAUCACAAGUUUGGGGCCAGCCU
rnacentral:lncRNA from 1 species